rnacentral:rRNA from 1 species
GACGGGUUAGUAACGCGUGGGAAUAUACCCUUUGGUACGGAAUAGCCUCUGGAAACGGAGAGUAAUACCGUAUGAGCCCUUCGGGGGAAAGAUUUAUCGCCAAAGGAUUAGCCCGCGUUAGAUUAGGUAGUUGGUGGGGUAAUGGCCUACCAAGCCUACGAUCUAUAGCUGGUUUUAGAGGAUGAUCAGCAACACUGGGACUGAGACACGGCCCAGACUCCUACGGGAGGCAGCAGUGGGGAAUCUUGGACAAUGGGGGCAACCCUGAUCCAGCCAUGCCGCGUGAGUGAUGAAGGCCUUAGGGUCGUAAAGCUCUUUCGCCUGUGAAGAUAAUGACGGUAGCAGGUAAAGAAACCCCGGCUAACUCCGUGCCAGCAGCCGCGGUAAUACGGAGGGGGUUAGCGUUGUUCGGAAUUACUGGGCGUAAAGCGCACGUAGGCGGACCAGAAAGUUGGGGGUGAAAUCCCGGGGCUCAACCCCGGAACUGCCUCCAAAACUAUUGGUCUAGAGUUCGAGAGAGGUGAGUGGAAUUCCAAGUGUAGAGGUGAAAUUCGUAGAUAUUUGGAGGAACACCAGUGGCGAAGGCGGCUCACUGGCUCGAUACUGACGCUGAGGUGCGAAAGUGUGGGGAGCAAACAGGAUUAGAUACCCUGGUAGUCCACACCGUAAACGAUGAAUGCCAGUCGUCGGGUAGCAUGCUAUUCGGUGACACACCUAACGGAUUAAGCAUUCCGCCUGGGGAGUACGGUCGCAAGAUUAAAA